UACAGAGGUCUCAAGCGUUGUUCGGAUUUAUUGGGCGUAAAGGGUGCGUAGGUGGCGGGGUAAGUCAGGUGUGAAAUCUCGAGGCUCAACCUCGAAACUGCACUUGAUACUGCCUUGCUCGAGUACUGGAGAGGAGAUUGGAAUUUACGAUGUAGCAGUGAAAUGCGUAGAUAUCGUAAGGAAGACCAGUGGUGAAGGCGAAUCUCUGGACAGUUACUGACACUGAGGCACGAAGGCCAGGGGAGCAAACGGG
rnacentral:rRNA from 1 species